AGGAUGAACGCUGGCGGCGUGCCUCAAACAUGCAAGUCGAGCGGGGCUAUGUAAUAUCGCAAGGUAGAACAUAGCCUAGCGGCGAACGGGUGAGUAACACGUGGGUAACCUGCCUGGAAGACAGGGAUAACGAUUCGAAAGGGUCGCUAAUACCUGAUAAUAUCCUUUCAUCGCAUGGUGAUAGGAAGAAAGGGGAAACCCGCUUUCAGAUGGGCCCGCGUCCCAUCAGCUAGUUGGUAAGGUAAAGGCUUACCAAGGCGACGACGGGUAGCCGGUCUGAGAGGAUGUACGGCCACACUGGGACUGAGAUACGGCCCAGACUCCUACGGGAGGCAGCAGUUGGGAAUCUUAGGCAAUGGACGAAAGUCUGACCUAGCGACGCCGCGUGAGGGAAGAAGGCCUUCGGGUUGUAAACCUCUGUCAUGGGGGAAGAAGUAAGUGACGGUACCCCAAGAGGAAGCCCCUGCUAACUACGUG
rnacentral:rRNA from 1 species